UAUUGGCAAAGGUGAAGUACAGAGGACCAAU
rnacentral:piRNA from 1 species